UACGAAGGGGGCUAGCGUUGUUCGGAAUUACUGGGCGUAAAGCGCACGUAGGCGGAUUGUUUAGUCAGGGGUGAAAUCCCGAGGCUCAACCUCGGAACUGCCUUUGAUACUGGCAAUCUCGAGUCCGGAAGAGGUGAGUGGAAUUCCUAGUGUAGAGGUGAAAUUCGUAGAUAUUAGGAAGAACACCAGUGGCGAAGGCGGCUCACUGGUCCGGUACUGACGCUGAGGUGCGAAAGCGUGGGGAGCAAACAGG
rnacentral:rRNA from 1 species